GAUCCAUCAAAGACUCAAACCUGGACCUCCACCCACCCUUGUGUCCUUAAAGAGUGACCAGUCUGGAGGUUUCCUCAUUGAUUUUAAAGUCUCUGCUGCAGAGAGGAACCCACCUGGACCUCCACCCAGCUCUGUGUCCUAUGAAAGUAACCGAGUCAAAGAUGUCAUUAAAAAAUUUGAGCAAAGACAGUCAUCUGAGAAAAAGAUCCAUCAAAGACUCAAACCUGGACCUCCACCCACCCUUGUGUCCUUAAAGAGUGACCAGUCUGGAGGUUUCCUCAUUGAUUUUAAAGUCUCUGCUGCAGAGAGAGUGGACCAGCAGAGCUCAGAGGUUCCCAGUGGUCAGUCUGCCCAGCAGCAUCAAACACAG